UACGUAGGGUGCGAGCGUUUGUCCGGAAUUAUUGGGCGUAAAGAGCUCGUAGGCGGUUUGUCACGUCUGCUGUGAAAUCCCGAGGCUCAACCUCGGGCCUGCAGUGGGUACGGGCAGACUGGAGUGCGGUAGGGGAGAAUGGAAUUCCUGGUGUAGCGGUGAAAUGCGCAGAUAUCAGGAGGAACACCGAUGGCGAAGGCAGGUCUCUGGGCCACUACUGACGCUGAGAAGCGAAAGCAUGGGGAGCGAACAGG
rnacentral:rRNA from 1 species